GAAAUGCGAUAAGUAAUGUGAAUUGCAGAAUUCCGUGAAUCAUCGAAUCUUUGAACGCACAUUGCGCCCUCUGGCAGUCCGGAGGGCAUGCCUGUCCGAGCGUCAUUGUAACCCCUCAAGCGCGGCUUGUGUGUUGGGUCCAGCGUCCCCCGCGGACGGGCCUAAAAAGCAGUGGCGGCGUAUGUCGAAGCCCGAGCGUAUGGGUAGUUAGUUAUCCGCUUAGAGGCUCGGUUUAACGUCCGUCGGAACCAAAUCACUAUGUGGUUGACCUCGGAUCAGGUAGGGAUACCCGCUGAACUUAA
rnacentral:misc_RNA from 1 species